rnacentral:rRNA from 1 species
GAUGAACGCUGGCGGCGUGCCUAAUACAUGCAAGUCGAGCGAACGGACGAGAAGCUUGCUUCUCUGAUGUUAGCGGCGGACGGGUGAGUAACACGUGGAUAACCUACCUAUAAGACUGGGAUAACUUCGGGAAACCGGAGCUAAUACCGGAUGAUAUUUUGAACCGAAUGGUUCAAAAGUGAAAGACGGUCUUGCUGUCACUUAUAGAUGGAUCCGCGCUGCAUUAGCUAGUUGGUAAGGUAACGGCUUACCAAGGCAACGAUGCAUAGCCGACCUGAGAGGGUGAUCGGCCACACUGGAACUGAGACACGGUCCAGACUCCUACGGGAGGCAGCAGUAGGGAAUCUUCCGCAAUGGGCGAAAGCCUGACGGAGCAACGCCGCGUGAGUGAUGAAGGUCUUCGGAUCGUAAAACUCUGUUAUUAGGGAAGAACAUAUGUGUAAGUAACUGUGCACAUCUUGACGGUACCUAAUCAGAAAGCCACGGCUAACUACGUG